AAUUACAAUCAGAGAUGUUACAACUGUUAAGGAGGGAGAUGUUCUGAAUCUGACCUGCAGUGUUGAAAAUUUCCCUCCAUCCAUGAUUGAGUGGUCUAAACUUGGUUCUGACACAAACCUGCACAGUUAUUCUGGAUCAGCCAGGCUUGUCAUUGAGAAUGUGAAACCAGAACAUUCUGGACAGUACAUCUGUGCAGUUACAUAUAUGAACAAUACCCUGAAGAAGGAUGUCAGUGUCACAGUGAUAUAUAACAGGGCUGCUCAGAUCAUUGGGAAUACAACUGUGAAGAAGGGAGAUGUUCUGAAUCUGACCUGUAGUGCUGAAAGCUUUCCUCCAUCUGUGAUUCUGUGGUCUAAACUUAGUUCUAAAACAAAGCUGCACAAUGACACUGGAUCAGCUACACUUGUCGUCCAUAAUGUGACAUCAGAACAUUCAGGGCAGUACAUCUGUACAGUAAAACAUCUGGACACAACUCUGACUUCAUAUGUUGAUGUAACUGUGACUUGGCAUACAAAGAUACAGAAUGGCUCAGGAUGUGUGCUUCAGUCUGAGGGUUUGACCUGUGUGUGUAUCAGUGAAGGCUUUCCUUUACCUACCAUCAAAUGGCCUCUGUUGAAUCACCACACUGAGUACUCUGUCAUUACCACUGUAUUAAACCACACAGUCAACAGCACUGUCAGUGUAACUGUAAAAAACCAUGGCAACAGCACUGUUAAAUGUGUCAGUAACAAUGGAAAUGGAGAAGAAAGAGAAAACCUGCUAGUCCAUAAAAACCCGUCUAAAAACAUGGUUUGUUCUUUUCAUCUAAAUACUUU